CUUGCAGGAGGGAGCUAUCCUACUUUGGACUGAAGGUUGUUUUAAUUGAACCUGGUGUCUUCAAGACUGUUGUGAGCAGUUCUAAUAUGCUCUCCAAAACCUCCAAGGAUGCGUGGGAGAGGGCCAGACCAGAGAUCAAGCAGAUCUAUGGCGAGAAGUUUCCAGCAUCCUACAUGAAAUCAAUAGAACCAAUCGAAGGAAGAUUAACACAGGAUCUGUCUUUGGUGAUUGGACUUGCAGGAGCCAUGGCAUGCGCUGAAGCCUGCACCCCGUACCGCUACUCAGCUGCUGGGAUGCGAAUCUCUCUACCUCCCAUGAGCGUAACGGUGGCCACCUUCCUGUGGACGCCAUCAUCCACAGGGCCCUCAAGUCACCCAAACAGGCCGUGAGCCAAGACUCUGAUGCAUGGUUGCAGGACAUUGACUGCUGUGGGAGGUAGAGGUACAUCAGCAGGAGGGUUGUAGGCUGGGGGAGGGAGCUCUUCUCCGCCAUCAGUAACACUGUCCACCUCUUCUUCUUCCUCUCCAAAGGGUUCUGUGGGCUAUUACCGAAUACCCUUGUGAUAUCAGGAGCAAAGAACCAAGGUUUCCGCUAAGAAAUGAAAACCCAACUGCACUUAUUGGUGUCCUGUUGGGGUGAGUAGCCACUCAAGCCCUGAAUUUCUUAAGUCCGGAGGAUUCCACGGAAUUGUCCAGGGUUGAGCUGGUGGAAGCAGACUCAGUCCACACCUGCUCUGCAUUGGUGCUAGCCCUGAGGUGUGCACUCACCUGGCCAGUGUGUUGCCCUCCCCCGGGAUGGAAAGUCCUGGGAAGCAGGGGCACCCCUGCUCUGAUGACCUGAGACAUGGACCGAGGGUGGAAGAAACCCUCAACCCAGACCCAUGUCCCCCCCCAGGGGCUGGCUUUGCAGGUAUUCACUGGAAGGUGGGGUCUUCCCUUGGUAUCCUGAUGGAAGACACAGAAACCAGUUGUUCAUUUGCCUUGAACCCACGGUGUGUGUGGAUUUUCUUGUUUUAGAAUAAACAUUGCUGGUUCACCCAUGCACAUUCGCAUAAAUGGUGGCCUUAGGAUUGGGAGGUGGGAACCUAGUGGCACAAGAGGCAGGCGACUUCAUGGAGGUAGGGGGGUGAGAGGUAACACCUGAGGAGGGGUCGAAGGGGGCUGGUGGAUUAUCCCCGCGUUUCUCCUGCUCUUCUACCAAACAGGCCAGGGAGCAAGCACUUCCCAUUUUGUCGGCUUUACAAGUGCCUGGUUCAACAGGAAUAGACAGAAGGACAGGCAACAAGGGAUGCAAUAAGCACUGGCAGGCCCAGACCCUCCCUGGGGCAGCUGAGCCUUCCUGCCCUCACCAGGUUCUGUGUCCCACAGGGACUGACUCAUUACAGGUCAUGCACUUCCCACUCGUCUGUCCCUCAGGCCCCCAACCCCACACUCCCCACAACCACCUCUCCAGUGAAAUGGACUGACAGUCACCUGUGGACCCCCAUCUCUCAUUUACUGCUCAUUUGUGCUGAGCGCCUGUUGUGUGCUGAAGGAAAUGCCCCAGGAUCCUGGGCUUCCACGGACCUCCCGGCUCUUGAGUCCCUCAGUGUUCGGGGUCCGCUGUGAGUGUGGUCUCAACAAAGAAAGCACUUGCAGAAGGGGACACAGAUUCCCGAGACAAGGACCUUUUAUAGCCAGGAGGACCCCUGCAAUCUAGGUUUCUUCCUCAAGUGUAACAGCUGAGGACACUGGAGCCUCAGGGGACUUGUGCUGUUGAGCAGAUCCGUGUUGGUGUGAAAAUGUAGCAGUGAGCUCAGAUUAUCGGAAAACGUGAAGUGGCGCCAUGGUGUGGACACGUCAGUGCUGAAGCGUGAAGAUGGCCGAGGAGGGUCAUCCUGGAGGACCCAAGGCCCUGAAAGCUGUAGUCAGCGCCACUGAGUGUCUUCCAUGCUGCCCACUUAGAAAACAUGGCCGGGCGCGGUGGCUCACGCCUGUAAUCCUAGCACUCUGGGAUCCUGAGGUCAGGAGAUCAAAAACCAGUCUGACAAGAAGCGAGACCCCGUCCUAAUUUAAA
ensembl:lincRNA